rnacentral:rRNA from 1 species
GAGUUUGAUCCUGGCUCAGAACGAACGCUGGCGGCAGGCUUAACACAUGCAAGUUGAACGUGAUUUGUUGGGUGCUUGCACCGAGCAAUGAAAGUAGCGCACUGGUGAGUAACACGUGGGAACGUACCUUUUGGUGGGGAACAACAGUUGGAAACGACUGCUAAUACCGCAUAAGCCCUGAGGGGGAAAGAUUUAUCGCCGAAAGAACGGCCCGCGGAAGAUUAGGUAGUUGGUGGGGUAACGGCCUACCAAGCCGACGAUCUAUAGCUGGUCUGAGAGGACGAUCAGCCACAUUGGAACUGAGACACGGUCCAAACUCCUACGGGAGCAGCAGUGAGAAUAUUGGGCAAUGGAGGCAACUCUGACCCAGCCAUGCCG